rnacentral:rRNA from 1 species
GCGCCGAAGAUGAUCGGGACUGAAGUCCAGAACCGAAGCCGCGGAUCGUGAAUUUAUUCACGGUGGUAGAAGAGCGUUGUAUGCGGGUCGAAGCCGAAGAGGGAUCUGAGGUGGACUGCAUACAAGUGACCAUGCAGGCAUGAGUAGCGAAAAACCGGAUGAGAAUUCCGGUCACCGAAAACCUAAGGUUUCCCGGGGAAGGUUCGUCCGCCCGGGGUUAGUCGGAACCUAAGGCGAGGCCGAAAGGCGUAGUCGAUGGAGGACAGGUUAAUAUUCCUGUACCACCUUGUUGGAGUGAUGGAGGGACGCAGUAAGUCAGGUGAGCCAACUGCUGAAUAUGUUGGUCGAAGGCCGUAGGGCGCACGAUAGGCAAAUCCGUCGUGCUUUCAACCCGAGAGUCGUAAGGUAGCCGAACGCAAGUUUGGCGAAUUCACUGUGACGACGCUGACGAGAAAAGCUUCUAAACGUUGAAAACAGGGUGUCCGUACCGAAACCGACACAGGUAGGUGAGGCGAGUAGCCUAAGGUGCGCGAGAGAAACCAACGUUAAGGAACUCGGCAAAUUGACCCCGUAACUUAGGGAUAAGGGGUGCCGCUUCAGGUGAAGGGACUUGCUCCCGGAGCCCGGAGCGGUUGCAACAAAGAGGCUGGUGCGACUGUUUAACAAAAACACAGCUCUAUGCUAACUCGCAAGAGGAUGUAUAUGGAGUGACACGUGACCAAUGCCAAAAGGUCAAUGGGAGAGGUUAGCGCAAGCGAAGCUUCGAUCUGAAGCCCUGGUGAAUGUCGGCCGUAACUAUAACGGUCCUAAGGUAGCGAAAUUCCUUGUCGGGUAAGUUCCGACCUGCACGAAUCGUGUAACGAUGCCAGCACUGUCUCAACGUGGAUCUCGGCGAAGUUGUAAUUCCGGUGAAAAUGCCGGAUACCUGCGGAAGGACGGAAAGACCCCAUGAACCUUUACUGUAAUCUGAUAUUGGUAUUUGAUUGCUCUUGUGUAGCAUAGGUGGGAGGCAGUGAAACCGCUACGCCAGUACCGGUGGAGCCACAGGUGAAAUACCACCCUGGUGUAAUUAGAUAUCUAACGGUGUCCCGUGAAUCCGGGCCCCGGACCGUGUCAGAGGGUCAGUUUGACUGGGGCGGUUUCCUCCUAAAUUGUAACGGAGGAGCCCGAAGGUACACUCAGCACGGUUGGCAAUCGUGUGCAGAGCGUAAGGGUAGAAGUGUGCUUUACUGUAAGACCGACAGGUCGAGCAGUUGCGAAAGCAGGGCCUAGUGAUCCAGCGAUGGAAUGUGGAAUCGUCGUUGCUCAACGGAUAAAAGGUACUCUGGGGAUAACAGGCUGAUAGCGCCCAAGCGUCCAUAGCGACGGCGCUGUUUGGCACCUCGAUGUCGACUCAUCACAUCCUGGGGCUGUAGAAGGUCCCAAGGGUUCGGCUGUUCGCCGAUUAAAGUGGUACGCGAGUUGGGUUCAGAACGUCGUGAGACAGUUCGGUCCUUAUCCUCCGCAGGCGCAGGAUAUUUGAUGGGAUCAUUCCUUAGUACGAGAGGACCGGGAAUGACUGACCUCUGGUGUUCCGGUUGUGGCGUCAGCUGCAUUGCCGGGUAGCUAUGUCGGGAACGGAUAAGCGCUGAAAGCAUCUAAGCGCCAAGCCCACCCAAAGACGAGAUAUCCCUUCCCGCAAGGGACUGAAGGCCGGUCGAAGACUACGACCUUGAUAGGACGGAGAUGUAAGCGCAGUAAUGCGUUCAGUUUACCGUUACUAAUCGGCCGUGAGGCUUAACCAC